rnacentral:ncRNA from 2 species
UUCUUAUCGAGAGAAGCAGAGGGACUGGCCCAAUGAAGCUUCAGCAACCAACAAUGAUGUCAGGUGCUAAAUCCAGCAGGUGUUAUACCGACAGAUGAGAA